rnacentral:lncRNA from 1 species
UACCUCAUAUCACAGGUAAAUAUGUUAGUUGACUCAUUUUUUCUGUCAAUUGGAUUUUAUGGUCUCCUAGAGUUCAUGAAUUGCUUGAUACAUUCAUAUGAAAUUGAUUCUCCGCAUAGAGCAUCUAAACUUAGUUGUCAAUGUACUAAUCUUUUGACUUUAGUGGCUUAAAUAUGAGGGAAAAAAACAAUCUUAGUAUAAGUUUCCAUGGAGAGUAAUUCUCAGCAUAUGCUAGCUGUGAUUUCUAAAGAUAAAACGCUUGAAUUUCUUUUUUAGUUAAGGAUUGGUUCGAGAAGUUUUAAAAAUCCAGAGGUGCUAGAAUAAACCUUGUUAAUGCUUGAUACUGGAGAUUGUUUAGAAUUAACGUUAGAAGUCUAACACUGUAUAAAAGCUUGCCAUAUGGUCCUCCUAAGUUUUCUAAACAAAGUCAUAGCUUUAAGCUAAUGACAUAUAUGCUUGAUAACCAAACCUUUUAUUUUAUUAAAAACAAAGAGAGAAUAUUAAGUAUGGACCAUACUGUAUGGUCAAAAGUUAGGGAAAGAGAAAAUCUCCAGUUGACAUGUUUUUGUGUAAACGUGAAACAGAUUCCACCUUCCUUUGUUGCUAAAGAUCAGAAAGAAACAUAGACUUCCAAAAUAAUAUUAAAAAUUGCGAAAAUUUCGAAAACAAAAAGGAAAAUUUGAAGGGAUCUAGCUUUGGAUUGUCCUUUUCAGUUGGGGACCAGAAGUGGAAUGAUGAUGCAGAGAAAGCCCACUUUUUUUGGUUCUUGUUUCCAGGUUUCUCUUGUUCUGAUUGGUUUAGGCAAAUCUAAAACCAAAAAGGGGGAAAACACACGGAAACACAGCGAUUGGCGAAUGCGAAAUUCGGAUGGUCAGGGCUCACUAGAGAGAGAGAAAAUAAGGUACAGAUUCUUGCUUAUAGCUUUACUUACCAGUAAGUUAUACUACACACGUUUUUAACUGGUCUUUGUCGAGUUUUCAUUACCAAAAAACUUUUGUUUUCACAACACAUGAAGUUUUGAAAAGUUUUUCUCACUUGAAAUGGAAACUUCUUUUGCUACCCGUAGCUUUUUAGUGUACUGUUCCAUUAACUAAAUAAUUGUAAUAGACAUCACUACUUAUCAUCUAUGUUAGUAUGAGACAUGCUUAUUGUCUAUGUUCCUUAACUGACCCUACAUUUGUUACUUCUUUGAGAACCUAUGGACUAUAGAAGGAGUCACUCUCUAACCCGAGCAUUAAUUCGUGCUCGUAUUCCCAUAAGUUUUCUAUUACAAGGCAUACAUGUUUUUAAUCAUUCAUUACAAUUUGAGGUGUAGAUUAAUCAUAAGAAGAAAGCUCGGUUCUUCGUAUGUUGUACUUCUUUUUUCUUUGAAUCUGGUUUCAAUGUACCAACAAGUAUUAGGAAACUGUCAAUAUGAUCUUGAGAUGCUGCAAUAUAAGAAACACAAUCUCAAGGAUUUGGACAUGAAACUGAUUUGGGGUCAUUUGGCCAUUCUAGUAUUGAUUGGUAAGCAUGUUACUGUUUUCGUUUGAUUCUGCACUUACUCUUAUCAAUUUCCAUACAGAAGCAAAUACCUUUUUAUUUAAUAUUAUUUAUGGGUCAUAUCAGUUUGCAAUCAGUUGCAAGUUGGUAGUGUAACUUAGGUCCCGUGAAAGUGUGGUGGACUUGGAAACUCUCUGUCUUUGUGAUUUCUUUGCCUUCAAUUAUUAUCAGUGUUGGAAACUUUCAUCAAUAAGGGCAUUUUGGUCUUUCACUUUUUUUUUUUUUUUUUUUGUCUUUUAACGGACAAAAAUUGCUGGG